CUGACCCUGCCCUGCCCUGAAGAGCAGAGCUGCUCACCCCUUCCAUCAGAGUCAUUUUUCUAGAAGAAACUUAAUUUGAACUCAACUCGAAUCCCUAUCUCCCCUACAGUGGACAAAGCUGAAAUUCUCAUUCACUUCUUACCCACUCAUGUAUUAUACCAUAUGUAUUACAUAUAAAUAUAUUUCUAUAUAAUUACAUAUCAUAUUUUAUCAAAAAUGUAUUAUUUUUCCUGUGAGAGUCUUGUUAAACAAGCUACUUCACUCUUACCUGAAGCCAGAAACUCAAUUUGGUUUGCUUUUUGAUUUUUUUC
rnacentral:lncRNA from 1 species